AUGAGGGGGGGGGCUUUGGGGAGGAAGCAGAAGAGGGUCACCAGGACGCCGCCUGGAUUAGAGGGCGUGAGCUAUGGGGAGGGGUUGGAUAAACUUGGCUGCUUUUCUCUGGAGCGGCCCCCGAAACGCGAGCGAGGCCAGGGUCGGUUUUGUCACGGAGACAGAGCGCUGUGUAACAACAGAGAAGCCUACUUCGGCGACGGGACCAAACUGGUUGUCCUCGACAAAGACCUCCGAAAUCCCAACGUGACCCUCUUCCAGCCGCCACAGAGGGAGCUGAGGGAGAAAGGGACAGCCAUCCUCGUCUGCCUCAUCACUGACUUCUACCCGGACAACCUCCGCAUCCAAUGGCUCCAGGGCGACUUUGUAAUCCCGCACAACGACACCCGGGUAAUGACCGAUGCGGAGUCGACGAGCAAUAAGGACGGGAGCGCCUUCAGCAUCAGCAGCCAGCUGAUCCUCAGCGCGUUGGAUUACGCCACGAGUAUAAAGGUGGUGUGCCGCGUGGAGCACUACCGGAAUGGGUCCAACCCAGUGGAGUACCGGGCAGAGGUCCGCGUCCAGCGAGAUGGAUGUGGAUUAAGCAAUACGAGCAAAAAGCUCACCAUUAACUCCGGCAUCCUCACGUACCUCCUCCUGAUUUGCAAAAGCGUCCUGUGCGGCGCCAUCCUGACGGUGCUGAGCUGCAGGGCCAAGACAUCGCAUAGCAAACGAUUCGACUGAUGGGCCAGGAGAAGGGUCAGGGGCGCUUGAAGGGAAGGAGGGGGACCCCCGGCGUAUCCUGCCCCCUGGAAGGGAGCGUCAUCGUCGGCCCUCGAGAUGACCCGCCUGUCGGGCCGGCCGGCCGGUGCUCCCCGACUCUGGCCCUCUGAGCAGUGCGCUCGGCCCGGACUUGCCCUUCCGCUCUCCUGCGCCAGCUUUGCCAUUCGGUCACUUCCCGUCUCUGCCGCUCGGCUGGCACAGUGGAUAGAGCUGGAUGCGAUCAUUGUGUGUGUGUGUAUGUGUGUGUGUGUGUGUGUGUGUGUGUGUGUGUGUGUGUGUGUGUAACAGACAGAGAGAGAGGCCUCAGUGAAGUGUGUCUGAGUGUGUGACAGGGAGAGAGAGAGAGCGAGAGGGGGCUGAGAGCGUGAGAGGGUCCCGAUCCCAGUGAAGUGUAUCUGAGUGUGUGUGUGUGUCUGUUCGUAUCUCGAGGGCUUACGCUUCGUUUCUUUUUCCCAGUUUCCUCCAUAUCCACGUUGUCAUCGCUGGUCCCCCUGAUUUGUAUACUUUGAUCAUUUAAUUUCACCUUAAUGGGACAGUUUCACAAUGUUCUGCUUUUUUCUGAUGUCGUUACUCUGGGGCUCUAUUCCUUCACAAUUCCACAACUUAAUGGAUUCGUAAGUUUAUUAUUGUGAUUCGGUGAUUUCAUGACUUCAAUUUCACAAUCCCAUGAUGUAGGAAUUUGCUAUUUCACAAUUUUAUGACUUGUGAGUUCCAUAAUUUCUGUUUUGUGACCUCAUGAUUUCAUGAUUUCUGUUUUGUAAUUUCAUGAUUCUGUGAUUUUUAUUUUGUAACUUCAUGACUCUGCAAUUUCUAUUUUUGCAUGAUAUCUGUUCAUUUGUAAAGAUGUAAUAACUUCUUGAUUCCGUGAUUUCAUGAUUUGUGUCUUCCUGAUUCCAUGAUUUAUAUCUUUAUAUGAUAUUAUAAAUUCUUCAUUCAGUGAUUCCGAUUCUUUUCAUCUUUCUGUAACUUUAUCAUUAAAUGAUUCCUACUUUUUCACGAUGCUGUAACUUCGCGAUUCCAUGA